rnacentral:lncRNA from 1 species
AUGUUUACUCAUGUGAUCAAGGGGAAUAACAAUUAUAUUUUGUGUAUUGUCAGCAAUAUGAUUAUUAAUGUUUUUACAGUAUUUCCUGUGUGGGAAUGCAUACAGCCUGAACUAUGGAAGGAACGGAGAAAUUUGUCGAUACUCAGAAAAAAAAGUUUGUCAGCACUCUGUAUGAGAACCUGGAAGAUGGGUGAAUUUCUGAGUCUCCAUGGCCUGAUGAGUGGGUUGAGAGAAAAAAGAUGAGAAGUGAAAAAUAAGUGUGUUAUUGUCAUCAUCAUCUGCCUUUAUGCACAGAAUUAAGAGGUUAGUGGGUUUUUCUUCCCCUUCUGUCCUCCAUCCUGGAGAAAAAGAUGGGAGAUGAAUGCUGCUUCUCUCUCUGGACCUGUGUAGCAAGAAUGACGCACAUUAGUUGCGGACCACAGGUACAGAAUGGAAUCAAAACAUUCACGAACAUCUACAGGUCAUGUAGCAUCAUGUCCUUUGUUCUAAGCCCUAACCUGAAAUCUAAAAUACUCUCACUUGAGGCAGCAAACACUCGUAACAGGUAAAAGGAAGACUUUCUAGAAAUUAAUACUUUUAGAGCAUCCUAUUGUGUAGUGACUUACAUGUCUAUAUAAAAAACACUUUGAAAAAAGUGUUUGUAUAUAAAACCCUUUUCAAAGGUGUGUCACGUAAGAGACUUUCUGAUAGGCAACUUCUCAUUAACAUUUGCCUCUUGUGAGUCAUAAUUCAUUUUGUCACAGACUGCAGUGACAGUACUUUGCUUUUAUUAAAAUGAUAGCUUUGUUGACUAUGUGUUUGGAGUUAUUUCAUAACAAGGGUCACCGUCUGCCUCCUUUGUCACCAUGACCUUCAGAUUAUGUCUUUACUUUCCACUUCAGUCUAACAUGCUGCUUUCAUUUGCUUGAUGGUUCCAUGGUUCAAUAGCACUUAGAGAGGUGUUCACAGCAAAUGGAAAAGUUUGAAAAUGCUGUUGUUUAAAAUAAUACUAUCUGUGUAUACUAUAGACCAAAUUUUUAUGCUUCCUCUUUUCCUUUCAAAAUGAAGAGUUACUUCAAGCAAUAGCCUUCGUUUUGGUUCUUCAAUAAUUACUAUUUUUUGCUUCUCUUUCUCUCGUUUGCGCGCUCUCGUUUGCGCGCUCUCGUUUGCGCGCUCUCUCUCUUUCUCUCUCUUUCUCUCUCUUUCUCUCUCUUUCUCUUUCUCUCUCUUUCUCUCUCUUUCUCUCGCUCUCUCGCUCUCGCUC